GGCGUCCUAGGCCAAUUGGCAGAGCCACCAGGUCCAGACCCUGGGUAUGUCUGGGUUCGAAUCCCAGGGACGCUA
rnacentral:tRNA from 1 species